rnacentral:lncRNA from 1 species
GCGGCUCCGGCGGUUGCUGCCAUUGCUGAGAGCUGGGACAGGAGGUCACUUGCCAGCCCACAGGAAGGUGUGAGGGCCUCUCAUAAGGGAAAUGAGGAACAGCUCUUACCUCAGAAGUGGCCACAAGCCCUGGGGAGGAGCAGAGCUGCUGGGACAAGGGGAGCAGAGCGUGGUGGGAUGGCCGGGGUGGCCAGGAGACCCCACAAAGUGGCAUGAACUUGUUCCUGGGCACUGUGCUGCUGCUCCUGCUGCUGCCUGAUGUUGCCGAAGGACAGGACAGCUGUUCUGGCUGCUGCAGUCAGAGUGGCACAGUUGGCUGGCUGCCCCAAGACUCUGCUCCUCAAUGUCAGCAGGGCUGUCACCCGUGAUGUCCUCAUCACCUUCUCCCCCACAGAGGGCCCCAGCAGGCUGAACACCACAGAGAAAGGGAAGGCAGGUAAAAUCCACCUCCCCAAGGAGAUAUUCCAGUCCCUGAGCAGCCAAACAGUGCGUGUGGUGGUGUCAGUCCUCAAUAUCCAGCAGCUUGGCACGUUCAAGGUACAGGCUGGCACUGCAGCUCCACAGAUGAUGCUUCUGCAAAGUCCCUCCAGGCUGCCGCUCCAUGCUCCUGAGGUGGCCCUGAUCUCCUUCCCCAGGGGACAAGAGGAAGCCCACAAAGCACCUGCCUUCACCCAUGAUGGAGCCAUCAUCCUCUUUGCUAGGGGUGGGUUUUGGUGCUGAACCAGCUCAGCAGUGAGAUCCCUGCCACUGGAGGGAGAGGAUUGUGAGAAGUUUGCAUCUGGGAAUCAGUAAAAAGAAGAGGAAAUCCAUGAUCUUCUUUGCAAAAUAUCUCCUUGCUCUCUGGCAGAGAUCUGCUGUGUCCUUCCUGCCAAACAGCCUCUGGGGCCAGCAGCAAUUCCCUCAUGGACAUGGUGCUCUAGCCAAAAUGCACAUACAGCUGCCUUGCAGGGCAAUGCUGUCUUCUCCUGAUCUGUGUUUUGGUAUUAAACCCCUG